UUUUAGCCCCGAUAGCAGUGAAAAUCCUUUCUGGUCAUGAACUUGUUUCAGUAUUCUGAAACAAGUUCAUGACCAGAAAGAUUGCAACGAAUAGCGGGAUUAGCU
rnacentral:sRNA from 1 species